GCCGGCGAGGACACGUGCGAGGCUGCACCUUUUUUGGGCUGCAUCACGCGGCCCAGGAGCCCGAGCCUGAUCCAGGCCGGGGCCUCUGGCCGCGGGAGGUGGUUCACUGCGGCCACGACCCGUCGCGCCGGGAGAAGGAGGCUGCCUCUUCUAGCGGCUCCGCGGUUGGCUGGGGACCCGGGGAAAGCGGAAAAAAAAAAAAAAAAAAAGUUUAGGAAAGCAAACUCCCCAUAAACUCCGAGAUUUUCCAGUGACCUUUCCAAAAGACUCGAAAUUAUUUCUGGCCUGUUGGUUGGCUCAGGCUCCAUCCUUGGAUUUCUCAUGCAUCCUCAUCAGCCUGGUGAUCGUGUUCUGAGAAAAACCUGGAAGGAAGACAAACUCAAACUGACCUGAGAAGGACCUGAUAAGGUACUGCUCAUGAAGGAAACAGUUGCUCGCACUGCAGAGAAAGGUUGGACUCAUUACAGGAGAAUCAAACGGACUCCAUCCCCUAACAAAAAAGAACAAUUGGCUAUGGUCCAGCACCCAAUCCUACAAAGCUGUCUUUGAAAAGGCCUUAAUAUCCUUCUUGGUCAUUCUAUAUACCAAGAUGCCGAUUGUUGGGGACAGCCCUUAUCAGGUCAACUUAAUUAUUAAUGUGACCAUGAGCAUGGAUCCCCUAACUUUGAAAUUUGAUGCUUUCCAGGUCUUGCCUUCUGGUGGCCUACACAGCCAAAAACAGCUAUCUGAAGAACAUAAGUACCUUUGUCCUGAACCAUAUUGGGCAUGUCAGGAAAUGAUCCAUGCCAACUCCCUUGCUAUAGUUUGGCCAAAGUAUGGUGGACUACCCAGGAUUGGUUACACGGCUGAGCCAUAUAAAGCAGCUCCCACCCUAGUGGAACUAAAAGAUUAUCCCUGGCAAGGGGCGUACCCCGAGAUGAUUAUGGGAAUCUACAAUGUAACCCACUGUUGUUAACAGUCAAACCAGAGAUAAGCAUCCAUCUCUUGAGCAUUGGUAUGGACUAGGGGCAGACCUAUCUGGGAGGUAUCCACUGGGAACGUUAGCUAUUCAGCUUGUUAAAAAUUUUACCUCCUCAUUAGUGACAUAGACCCAGAACUCUGAACAAACUUGACUCUCAGUUCCUAAUGACCCUACUAAGGUCACCGUGGUAGAGGUGAAGGAUUUACACCAAACCCUAGAGCAAAGCUAGAAACCAGAUAGCAAAGGGAUUAGAACCGGUAUUAUUCUGAUGGUCCACCAUCAAUAAAAAUGUGGAUUGGAUAAAGUAUAUUUAUUAUAACCAGCAGAGGUUUGUCAACUAUACUAGAUACACUAUCAAGGGAAUAGAAAACAAUUAGACUCAACCAGUAAGAUGACCAGGGAGACACACUGGUCUUAGACAUGAUCCUGGCAGAAAAGCAGGGAGUAUGUGUUAUGCAUGUGUGCGUACUCAAUCGCUUCCAUCAUGUCUGACUCUUUGUGACCCUAUAGACUGUAACCUGCUGGGAUCCUCUGUCCAUGGGAUUCUCCAGGCAAGAAUACUGGAGUGGGUUGCCAUUUUCUUCUCCAGAAGAUCUUCCCGAUCCAGGGAUCAAACCAGCGUCUCAUGGGUCUCAUGCCUUGGAGGCAGAUUCUUUACCACUGAGCCACCAAGGAAGCCUGUAUGUGUCAUGAUAGGAGGUCAAUGUUGUACUUUCAUACCCAACCAUGCCGCCCCUUAUGGCACAACAACAAGAGCCCUGCAAGGUCUUACCACCUUGGCUAAUGUGUUGGCUGAAAAUUCAGGGAUAGAUAAUCCUUUCUCCAUCCUGAUUGGUUCAGCAAAUGGAAAGGUAUAAAUACCUUUCCAUUUGCUGAACCAAAUGUAUUUCCAUUUGCUGUCCUGACCUCCCUAAUCAUUGUAUUUGGAGCAUGGCCCUAGUAGAAUGUUGUAUAAUUCCAUGCAUUAGAGGUCUUGUGUUAAGAAUAAUAGAAACUGCCCUUUCUAAACAGUCUGCAAAAGACCAUCAGAACACCUCAGAACAUGAACUCCAGACCUUCCAUAGGUCAUUUACUCUCUGGGCCUCAGGUUCUUACCUGUGAAUUGAGGAAUAAAAUAAUGACCUAUAAAGCCCCUUCCAGCUCUAAAAGUUCUCUGGUUAGUGCAAGAGGCACUACUCAGAGCCAUGAUCUCAUGCAAAAACAUUUCAUACUUUUCUCUUGUCUAGACCAAUGUGAUGUCUGAAAUGACACAUGAUCACUUUUUUUUUUGGAAGAAUGUUAUAAUACUUUUAGUAUGUAUAAAAUGGGUUUACAGUAAACAUUUUCAAGCUUUUCCAAGGUAAAACAAACCAAAAAUAAAAAAUGGUAAUUCUAUGACUAUAAA